rnacentral:rRNA from 1 species
CGCAUCUGUGCAUGCAGCAUAUCAAUAAGCGGAGGAAAAGAAACUAACAAGGAUUCCCUUAGUAACGGCGAGUGAAGCGGGAAGAGCUCAAAUUUGAAAUCUUCAAGGUUUUACCUUGACGAAUUGUAGUUUAAAGAAGUGUUUUCUGUUGAAGUUUUGGUAAAAGUUCUUUGGAAUAGGACAUCAUAGAGGGUGAGAAUCCCGUAUUUGACCAUUAUUUUCAGCUGUGUGAUACACUUUCAAGAGUCGGAUUGUUUGGGAAUGCAGUCCAAAAUGGGUGGUAAAUUUCAUCUAAAGCUAAAUAUUGGCGAGAGACCGAUAGCGAACAAGUACCGUGAGGGAAAGAUGAGAAGAACUUUGAAAAGAGAGUUAAACAGUACGUGAAAUUGUCGAAAGGGAAGCGUUUGACACCAGUGUUGUUUUCUCGAAAAUCAAUUAAAAAGAGUUUAGAUUUUGUUGUGUAUUGACCUUAACAGCUUGCAUUUCAAUUUUCUUGCUUUUUUUAAUGCACUUUUCGUUUAACAAGUCAACAUCAGUUUCUUUUGUUGUAAAAAGGUCAUUGGAAGGUGGCUUUCUUUUCGGAGAAAGUGUUUAUAGCCUUUGACUCCUGCAAUCGGAGAGACUGAGGUCUGCAGCGUAGAUCCUUCGGGGUUAGAUACAUUUGUGCUAAGUUAUAGCUUUUUAUAGACAACUUGUUGACUAUGAUUAGUCUUGUAGCUUACUCGCUUAUGCUAUUUUACCUACGCUUAGGAUGUUGACGCGCGUGUGUGCGUG